rnacentral:rRNA from 1 species
GUGAGGAAUAUUGCGCAAUGGACGAAAGUCUGACGCAGCCAUGCCGCGUGAAGGAUUGACGGCCCUAUGGGUUGUAAACUUCUUUUGUAUAGGAAUAAACCCUCGUUCGUGAACGAGGCUGAAGGUACUAUAAGAAUAAGCACCGGCUAACUCCGUGCCAGCAGCCGCGGUAAUAAGGAGGGUGCAAGCGUUAUCCGGAUUUAUUGGGUUUAAAGGGUCCGUAGGCGGAUCGUUAAGUCAGUGGUGAAAUCCUACCGCUCAACGGUAGAACUGCCAUUGAUACUGGCGAUCUUGAGUAUGUAUGAAGUUGGCGGAAUGUGUGGUGUAGCGGUGAAAUGCUUAGAUAUCACACAGAACACCGAUUGCGAAGGCAGCUGACUAAUACACAACUGACGCUGAGGGACGAAAGUGUGGGGAUCAAACAGGAUUAGAUACCCUUGUAGUCC